rnacentral:rRNA from 1 species
GCAACGUAGGCAAAUCCGCUUUGAUACUGCUGGGAUGUGAUGGGGAGCGACACUUAGUAGCGAGGUAGCUUAUUUCACACGCUCAAGACAAGACUACAUCGCGGUUAAAGAUACCCGUACCGCAAACCGACACAGGUGGGAGAGGAGAGUAUCCUAAGGCCAGCGGGAGAACUGUUGUUAAGGAACUCGGCAAAAUGACCCCGUAACUUAGGGAUAAGGGGUGCCACCAUCAGGUGGCCGCAGAGAAUAGGCCCAAGCGACUGUUUACCAAGAACAUAGGUUUCUGCUAAGUCGCAAGACGAUGUAUAGGAGCUGACGCCUGCCCGGUGCUGGAAGGUUAAGGGGAUCUGGUAGAGCAAUCGACGCAGUCAACUUAAGCCCCAGUAAACGGCGGAGGUAACUAUAACGGUCCUACUGUAGCGAAAUUCCUUGCCGGGUCAGUCCCAACCCGCACGAAAGGCGUAACGAUUUGGGCAC